rnacentral:rRNA from 1 species
AUUGAACGCUGGCGGAAUGCUUUACACAUGCAAGUCGAACGGCAGCACGGGGCAACCUGGUGGCGAGUGGCGAACGGGUGAGUAAUACAUCGGAACGUGCCCAAUCGUGGGGGAUAACGUAGCGAAAGUUACGCUAAUACCGCAUACGAUCUACGGAUGAAAGCGGGGGAUCGCAAGACCUCGCGCGAAUGGAGCGGCCGAUGUCAGAUUAGGUAGUUGGUGGGGUAAAGGCUCACCAAGCCAACGGUCUGUAGCUGGUCUGAGAGGACGACCAGCCACACUGGAACUGAGACACGGUCCAGACUCCUACGGGAGGCAGCAGUGGGGAAUUUUGGACAAUGGGCGCAAGCCUGAUCCAGCCAUUCCGCGUGCAGGAUGAAGGCCUUCGGUUGUAACUAGCUUUUGUUACGGAACGAAACGGCGAGCUCUAAUACAGUUUGCUAAUGACGGUACCGUAAGAAUAAGCACCGGCUAACUACGUAGCCAGCAGCCGCGGUAAC